rnacentral:rRNA from 1 species
AAGCGGCGGAGCAUGUGGAUUAAUUCGAUGCAACGCGAAGAACCUUUACCUGGGCUUGACAUACACCGGAUCGGGCUAGAGAUAGUCUUUCCCUUGUGGCUGGUGUACAGGUGGUGCAUGGUUGUCGUCAGCUCGUGUCGUGAGAUGUUGGGUUAAGUCCCGCAACGAGCGCAACCCUUGUCUUAUGUUGCCAGCACGUGAUGGUGGGGACUCAUGAGAGACUGCCGGGGUUAACUCGGAGGAAGGUGGGGAUGACGUCAAAUCAUCAUGCCCCUUAUGUCCAGGGCUUCACACAUGCUACAAUGGUCGGUACAACGCGUGUGCGACACUGUGAGGUGAAGCUAAUCGCUCUAAAGCCGGUCGUAGUUCGGAUUGGGGUCUGCAACUCGACCCCAUGAAGUCGGAGUCGCUAGUAAUCGCAGAUCAGCAACGCUGCGGUGAAUACGUUCCCGGGCCUU